rnacentral:rRNA from 1 species
GGUAUGUAAAGCUCUAUCAGCAGGGAAGAAAAUGACGGUACCUGACUAAGAAGCCCCGGCUAACUACGUGCCAGCAGCCGCGGUAAUACGUAGGGGGCAAGCGUUAUCCGGAUUUACUGGGUGUAAAGGGAGCGUAGACGGCGAAGCAAGUCUGAAGUGAAAACCCAGGGCUCAACCCUGGGACUGCUUUGGAAACUGUUUUGCUGGAGUGUCGGAGAGGUAAGUGGAAUUCCUAGUGUAGCGGUGAAAUGCGUAGAUAUUAGGAGGAACACCAGUGGCGAAGGCGGCUUACUGGACGAUAACUGACGUUGAGGCUCGAAAGCGUGGGGAGCAAACAGGAUUAGAUACCCUGGUACUCCACGCCGUAAACGAUGAAUGCUAGGUGUUGGGGGGCAAAGCCCUUCGGUGCCGC